GACGAACGCUGGCGGCGCGCCUAACACAUGCAAGUCGAGCGAUGAAAUUUUAACCGAUCUCUUCGGAGAGAAGAUAAAAUGGAUUAGCGGCGGACGGGUGAGUAACACGUGAGAAACCUGCCUUUCACAAGGGGAUAGCCUCGGGAAACCGGGAUUAAUACCCUAUGACACAUUUCCUUCGCAUGGAAGAAAUGUUAAAACUCCGGUGGUGAAAGAUGGUCUCGCGCCUAAUUAGCUAGUUGGUGGGGUAACGGCCCACCAAGGCCAUGAUCAGUAACCGGCCUGAGAGGGUGAACGGUCACAUUGGAACUGAGACACGGUCCAAACUCCUACGGGAGGCAGCAGUGGAGAAUAUUGCACAAUGGAGGAAACUCUGAUGCAGCGACGCCGCGUGAGCGAUGAAGGCUUUCGAGUCGUAAAGCUCUGUCCUAUGGGAAGAUAAUGACGGUACCAUAGGAGGAAGCCCCGGCUAACUACGUG
rnacentral:rRNA from 1 species